UCGUCGACGGGGAAGCACGUUUCGCGCGCUCUCUCACAGUCAAACUCACGCACUGUACAUAGAAUAAAAUAAAAUUUUAAGUAGAGUGGCCGAGUGAAGUGACGAACGUGUUGUGACGGUGUACUGCAACCAUCGAGCUUCCGAGUUUAGUUCUGUAAAUAAUUUAAACCGUUACAUAUAUAUUUCUCGCGUGGUAUUAGUGAAGUGUGAGUUCCAAUCUUCGAGGCCGCUUGUUCUUCCUUCGCAAUAGUUAAAAAUAGUAACGUCUUUCGAAUCAACACAUUUCACAACCAUGGGGCUGAGUUCACAGCUACGAACUGAACAACCAUCGCAUACGCUCCGAAUACCAACUGAUACUUACUUGUACAGUUGAACAACUACCAAAAUGGUUAAGUAGUAGACAUAGACUGUUCAAAUAAUU